AGAGCGAACGCUGGCGGCAUGCUUAACACAUGCAAGUCGCACGGGCAGGGGAAACCCUGUCAGUGGCGGACGGGUGAGUAACGCGUAGGUAUCUAUCCUUGGGUGGGGGACAACUGUGGGAAACUACAGCUAAUACCGCAUGAUGACCGAGGUCCAAAGGCCGCAAGGCCGCCUGGGGAGGAGCCUGCGUACGAUUAGCUAGUUGGUGGGGUAACUGCCUACCAAGGCGACGAUCGUUAGCUGGUCUGAGAGGAUGAUCAGCCACAUUGGGACUGAGACACGGCCCAAACUCCUACGGGAGGCAGCAGUGGGGAAUAUUGGACAAUGGGCGCAAGCCUGAUCCAGCAAUGCCGCGUGGGUGAAGAAGGUCUUCGGAUUGUAAAGCCCUUUCGACGGGGACGAUGAUGACGGUACCCGUAGAAGAAGCCCCGGCUAACUUCGCGCCAGCAGCCGC
rnacentral:rRNA from 1 species